ACCACCUAGACGACCACCACGUGGCUCCCUCUCAAUUUUUGCUUCGCCGCGUUGUCCUGCUAGAAAAAGUAACGGCGGACCAACGAAAUUUCCCAUCAGGCAGUCACUCCACAACUCCGUCCACUACGUUACACGUAAUUAAUACUUCAUUAAUGCAUUUCCUCCUCAAAAAGCAACUAAAGCUAACCGCCAUUCAUAUUCUUAGCCACCACCAGUGGCAACUGCACCGCGUCUCGUCUCAUAUCCGGAGAACAUGGACAAGCCUCUGCUCAACGGUGAAGGCAGCGGCGUCCCGCGACGCGGAGAUCCACCCAUCGCCUUCAAACGCCGCUCCGAUGCCAUCUCCUUCGGCACUCCUUACCAGAAAGCUGCCGCACUCGUCGAUUUGGCGGAAGAUGGCGUUGGCUUACCCGAGCAGAUACUGGAUCAAUCAAGCUUUCAGAGUGCCGCAAAGUUCUACUUCCUUUUCUUUCGAUUCAGCUUCCUUUGGGCUCUCCUCUAUUUCGCCCUCAUCAUACUCAAUUUCCUCGAGAAACCUCUGUGGUGCGCUAGGUAUACUGGCGCUGUCUAUACAUGUAGGGACAGAGACUACUUCUAUCUUGGCCAAUUGCCGUACUUGAAUACUCUGGAGGCUCUUAUUUUUGAGGGCAUAACACUCAUUGUACUCGUAGUGCACAUUUUCUUUCCAAUUUCGUAUGAAGGGUUCCAUCUCUAUUGGAAAAAUCCUCUUACCCUAUUCAAGGUCACGUGCCUACUGAUUUUGGUUGCUGAUAUGCUGGUUUAUGCUCUCUAUUUGUCUUCAGUGGCCUUUGAUUCCCUUCCUUUCAGGAUUGCACCAUACAUCAGAGUUAUCUUUUUCAUCUUGAAUUUCAGGGAAUUGCGGUCGUGCAUGCUCAUCGUGGCUGGAAUGCUUGGCACGUACAUAAACGUCGUGGCUCUAGGGCUCUUAUUUCUUCUGUUUGCCAGUUGGUUGGCCUAUGUCAUGUUUGAAGAUACCCAGCAGGGGAGAAUAGUAUUUACUUCGUAUGGUGUCACAUUGUAUCAGAUGUUUAUUUUAUUCACCACAUCAAACAAUCCAGAUGUCUGGAUACCUGCCUACAAGGCUUCACGUUGGUUUUCCUUGUUUUUCGUUAUCUAUGUGCUGUUGGGAGUUUACUUUGUCACGAACUUGAUUCUUGCUGUUGUGUACGAUAGCUUCAAAAAUCAGCUUGUGAAACAAGUUUCUGGGAUGGACCAGACAAGGAAAACUAUACUAAAGAAAGCCUUCAAUUUAUUAGACAAGGAUAAUGUAGGAUAUCUCAAUAAGGAUCAGUGUAUACAACUAUUUGAGGAACUAAAUAAUUACAGGACUUUGCCAAACAUAACAAGAGAAGAAUUUGAGCUGAUAUUUGAAGAGCUGGAUGACAGUGGAGACUUCAAGAUAAACUUAGAAGAGUUCUUUGAUCUUUGCAAUGCCAUUGCUCUAAGAUUCCAGAAGGAGGAUUCUCCCUCUUUGCUUGAAAAGUUCCCUUCAAUCUACCAUUCAUUGUUCUCUGAAAAGUUGAAGACCUUCGUCAGGAGUCCCAAAUUUGGAUACAUAAUAUCCUUCAUGCUCAUAGUCAAUCUGGCUGCUGUUAUUGUCGAAACAACGCUUGAUAUAGAAAACAGUACUGCUCAAGAGGUGUGGCAAGUGGCAGAGUUUGUUUUUGGGUGGGUAUAUGUACUGGAAAUGGCUCUGAAAGUCUAUUCUUUUGGAUUUGAGAACUAUUGGAGGGAUGGUCAAAAUCGCUUUGAUUUUCUGGUGACAUGGAUAAUAGUUAUUGGGGAAACUAUAACUUUUGUGGCUCCUGAAGGACAAACUUUUCUUUCAAAUGGAGAAUGGAUUCGCUACCUUAUAAUUGCAAGAAUGUUAAGAUUGAUUAGGCUCCUGAUGUAUGUCCAGCGCUACCGGGCAUUUGUUGCUACCUUUUUAACUCUCAUACCGAGUUUGAUGCCGUACCUUGGAACCAUAUUUUGUGUCAUGUGUAUCUAUUGUACACUCGGUGUACAGGUAUUUGGUGGAAUUGUUAAUGAUGGAAAUGCCUUGCUGGAAGGAUCUGAGCUUUAUGAGAAUGACUAUUUACUUUUCAACUUCAAUGACUACCCCAAUGGGAUGGUAACACUUUUCAAUUUGCUAGUCAUGGGAAACUGGCAUUUGUGGAUGGAGGGUUAUCAGGAAAUAACAGGAACUUGGUGGAGCGUUGUAUAUUUUGUCAGCUUUUAUCUUGUAACUGUUGUUCUGCUAUUGAACUUGGUCAUGGCUUUUGUCCUGGAGGCGUUCUUUGCUGAAAUGGAUCUUGAGUUAUCAGAAAAAUUUGAGGAGGGGGAAGGAGCAAAAGAUCGACGUCGAUCUUUGGGCUCCAAAACUCAGAGCCAGAGAAUUGAUGUUCUUCUUCACCAUAUGCUGAGUUCAGAGCUAACUCAGACACAACCCUUCAAUACAGCAUAGAGAUUCCUUCCUUUUCAUCAAGACUAUUGAGUUUUGAAAGGACUUGUUACAACCCAUGACCUCUGCUAAGAUUGUCUUUGUGGAGCUAGAAAACGGUGCAAGGUAAUAUCAACAAGAGGCGAGCUGCCUUUGUGUUCAGAUUCUCCAGCUGUGCUUAAAUUCAAAUCAUUUUGGAAGUGAGACAUUGCUGGAUUCGAUUCCAUAGUUGUUGCUCAUGUACCAUAUUUUGGCCGUAGAGGUUCGAUCAAUCAGAGAUUUUACCAUGUAUCUGUUUCUGGUAAAUAAUUUUGUUCUUUCAUUACAGUUUUUGCUACUGAUGAUACGCUCGUUUUCAUCGUAUUUGUAUUGUUAGUUGAUUGUACAAACAAAACCACAAUGGCAUCUCCUGUAUGUACAUACGUAUACUUUUUGGGGAAAUAACCAGAAAUAGGACAUUUUCUUAA